UGAGGAAUCUUGUACAAUGGGCGAAAGCCUGAUACAGCGACGCCGCGUGAAGGAUGAAGGCCUUCGGGUUGUAAACUUCUGUCAAACGGGAAGAAAGUCCUGUCUCUAAUAUAGACGGGAUAUGACGGUACCGUUAAAGGAAGCACCGGCUAACUUCGUGCCAGCAGCCGCGGUAAUACGAAGGGUGCAAGCGUUAUUCGGAUUUACUGGGCGUAAAGGGUGUGUAGGUGGUGUGUUAAGUCUAUUGUUAAAUCUCCCGGCCUAACCGGGAAAAUGCAGUGGAAACUAGCAUGCUAGAGGAUGAGAGAGAGAAGUGGAAUUCUCGGAGUAGCGGUAAAAUGCGUAGAUAUCGAGAGGAACACCGAUGGCGAAGGCAGCUUCUUGGCUCAUUCCUGACACUGAAACACGAAAGCGUGGGGAGCAAACAGGAUUAGAUACCCCCGUAGUCC
rnacentral:rRNA from 1 species